CCUGAGGAAGGUUCCCAGUGACCUGCCCGCCCUCAUUCUUGGACCUGUCCAAUUCUCUCACGGGCACUGUGGCCUGGACUUAGUGACUGGCUUCUAACAGCUGGCAUCCCAGCAGGGGAAGCCAGCUGCCUCUCUCAAGUGCCCACAGAGAAGACUGUGUGAUGCAGAACAAAGGGUGGCCUCUGGAGGAGUUGAGGCAGAGCUCAGCCCUGACUCGGUCUCCAUGUUGGCUUUUAGGGACUUUGUGGAUUUGGGCAUAACAUUUGGGAGCUCGUCCGGGAUCCCCUAAUCCCACUGGGACUACCACCCGUAGAGUCUUCAACCAGCUGAAAAAGAAAAAAUUCACCUAUGGGCCUGGCUGAGACAGUAAGACUGCUGCUCUGGAUAUUUCUGCCUCCAAUACUGUGGAGACCUGGGUAUGACUAACUGUAUACGAACUCUGGUC